rnacentral:rRNA from 1 species
GCAAGUCGAACGGUAACAUGGUCUUCGGACUGAUGACGAGUGGCGCACGGGUGCGUAACGCGUAUGCAACCUACCCUUAACUGGAGGAUAGCCCGAAGAAAUUCGGAUUAAUACUCCAUAGUAUCCAAAGAUGGCAUCUGAAUUGGAUUAAAGAUUUAUUGGUUAAGGAUGGGCAUGCGUGACAUUAGCUAGUUGGUAAGGUAACGGCUUACCAAGGCAACGAUGUCUAGGGGUUCUGAGAGGAUGAUC